rnacentral:rRNA from 1 species
UACGAAGGGUGCAAGCGUUACUCGGAAUUACUGGGCGUAAAGCGUGCGUAGGUGGUUCGUUAAGUCUGAUGUGAAAGCCCUGGGCUCAACCUGGGAAUUGCAUUGGAUACUGGCGAGCUAGAGUGCGGUAGAGGAUGGCGGAAUUCCCGGUGUAGCAGUGAAAUGCGUAGAGAUCGGGAGGAACAUCUGUGGCGAAGGCGGCCAUCUGGGCCAGCACUGACACUGAGGCACGAAAGCGUGGGGAGCAAACAGG